rnacentral:rRNA from 1 species
AUUGAACGCUGGCGGCAUGCCUUACACAUGCAAGUCGAACGACAGCACGGGAGCAAUCCUGGUGGCGAGUGGCGAACGGGUGAGUAAUGUAUCGGAACGUGCCCAGUCGUGGGGGAUAACGUAGCGAAAGCUACGCUAAUACCGCAUACGAUCUAUGGAUGAAAGCGGGGGACCGUAAGGCCUCGCGCGAUUGGAGCGGCCGAUAUCGGAUUAGGUAGUUGGUGGGGUAAAGGCCUACCAAGCCGACGAUCUGUAGCUGGUCUGAGAGGACGACCAGCCACACUGGGACUGAGACACGGCCCAGACUCCUACGGGAGGCAGCAGUGGGGAAUUUUGGACAAUGGGCGCAAGCCUGAUCCAGCAAUGCCGCGUGCAGGAUGAAGGCCUUCGGGUUGUAAACUGCUUUUGUACGGAGCGAAAAGGCUCUCUCUAAUACAGGGGGCUCAUGACGGUACCGUAAGAAUAAGCACCGGCUAACUACGUGCCAGCCGCCGCGGUAAGAC